GGCCCCAUCGUCUAGCGGUCUAGGACUCAGGGUUCUCAGUCCUGCAACACGGGUUCGAAUCCCGUUGGGGCUA
rnacentral:tRNA from 1 species